rnacentral:rRNA from 1 species
CUUGGAUUAUCUCAAAGGUGCAGCCUGCCCUAUGGUCUUCUCUCGUUUUGUAAUUAAAACUCGAACCCAGACUAAAUGGCCGCGGUAACUCUGACCGUGAUAAUGUAGCGAAAUCAAUCGUCGUUUAAUUGGCGACCCGUAUGAAAGGUUAAACGAAUUUCCCCCUGUCUCGAAAAUAAAAUCGUCGAAAUUGUAUAGGUAGUGAAGAUACUACCGUCGAAUGGCUAGACGAAAAGACCCUAUAGAGCUUAACUAUGACCUUCGUUCGUGAUUAUUUAUCAUCGAUAGAUACGAACGAAGGCGGGUAGUUUGGUUGGGGCGACCUUCUUCUAUAAAAAACGAAGAUAAACAAAGGCAUCUUAUUUUUACUGGCUUAAUUGUUUAAUUCAUAAAUUUAACAAAUACUAACGUAGGUAACAGUGACCCGUUUCUAUUAAAAAAUAAAGGAAACGAUCAAUAAAUAAAAGCUACCUUAGGGAUAACAGCGUAAUCUUGUUCAAGAGUCCUCAUCGACAACAAGGUUUGCGACCUCGAUGU